AUGCUCCUGUUGCUCAUACCAGUGCUGGGGAUGAUUUUUGCCCUGAGAGAUGCCAGAGCCCAGUCUGUGAGCCAGCAUAACCACCACGUAAUUCUCUCUGAAGCAGCCUCACUGGAGUUGGGAUGCAACUAUUCCUAUGGUGGAACUGUUAAUCUCUUCUGGUAUGUCCAGUACCCUGGUCAACACCUUCAGCUUCUCCUCAAGUACUUUUCAGGGGAUCCACUGGUUAAAGGCAUCAAGGGCUUUGAGGCUGAAUUUAUAAAGAGUAAAUUCUCCUUUAAUCUGAGGAAACCCUCUGUGCAGUGGAGUGACACAGCUGAGUACUUCUGUGCCGUGAAUGC